UACAGAGGUCCCAAGCGUUGUUCGGAUUCACUGGGCGUAAAGGGUGCGUAGGUGGUGAGGUAAGUCGGAUGUGAAAGCUCGGAGCUCAACUCCGAAAUGGCAUUGGAAACUACCUUGCUCGAGGGUUGGAGGGGGACUGGAAUACUUGGUGUAGCAGUGAAAUGCGUAGAUAUCAAGUGGAACACCAGUGGCGAAGGCGAGUCCCUGGACAACUCCUGACACUGAGGCACGAAGGCCAGGGGAGCAAACGGG
rnacentral:rRNA from 1 species